ensembl:lncRNA
AUGCAUGUGCACCUGUUUGUGUUCUUCAGCAGUCUCCUGUCUGAAAUGAAACGACCCAUCAAUUCAGAGCCUCAAGACAUCAGCUGCAUGCACAUCUUCACACACACCACUGUGGGAAUGAUGCUCAUUAGAAACAAUAUCCUCAGCACAGAUGAAGACGGGCAGAUGUGGCCAAGUUUCUGCUCAGGAGCUGACGCAGCAGCAGGAGAAAGUGCAGCUGUUGGAGAGAGGCCAGUGUCUGGCUCAGGAGCAGCUCUCAGAGAGAAAGCUCAGAGGAGACUCCAGGCAGAGCUCAAGAGAAUAACAGACAGUCUGGAAAGCACCCACCAGGAGCUACAGGACUCACGGAGGCUGCUGGAGCGUGUGAAGACAGAGGCCAGCAGCAGCAGACAGGAAGCCCUGAGACUCCAGCAGGAGAAUCAGCAGAUCCAGGAAGAGCUGGAUGUCAACAGAGAGACCCUCUCAGCCCUGAAGACUAAAGUGAGAGCCACUUUACACUCAUCCUGCACUGAUUCAGGGCUUUAAACGGCAGUAUUAUUAAACAAAGUUGCUUCAC